rnacentral:rRNA from 1 species
UACGUAGGGUGCGAGCGUUGUCCGGAAUUAUUGGGCGUAAAGAGCUCGUAGGCGGUCUGUCGCGUCGAAAUGUGAAAACCCGGGGCUCAACUCCGGGCUUGCAUUCGAUACGGGCAGGCUAGAGUUCGGUAGGGGAGUCUGGAAUUCCUGGUGUAGCGGUGAAAAUGCGCAGAUAUCAGGAGGAACACCGGUGGCGAAGGCGGGACUCUGGGCAUUAAUGCGCUGAGGAGCGAAAGCAUGGGGAGCGAACAGG